rnacentral:tRNA from 1 species
GGGCCGGUGGUGUAAUGGCGUAGAGCAUUCCCGCCCGGUCAGAGGGAGGUGCGGGUUCGAGUCCCGCCUGGCGCU